AGAGUUUGAUCCUGGCUCAGAAUGAACGCUGGCGGCGUGCUUAACACAUGCAAGUCGAACGAUGAAGCCAAACUUAUCAUUUAUGGUAGGCUAGGUGGAUUAGUGGCGCACGGGUGAGUAAUAUAUAGAUAAUCUACCUCUUAGUCUGGGAUAGCCAUUGGAAACGAUGAUUAAUACUAGAUACUCCUUCUCUAUCUAAUUAGAGUUGGGAAAGUUUUUCGCUAAGAGAUGAGUCUAUAUCCCAUCAGCUUGUUGGUAGUGUAAGAGACUACCAAGGCAAUGACGGGUAGCGGGUUUGAGAGGAUGAUCCGCCACACUGGUACUGAGACACGGACCAGACUCCUACGGGAGGCAGCAGUGAGGAAUAUUGCACAAUGGAGGAAACUCUGAUGCAGCAACGCCGCGUGGAGGAUGACGCAUUUCGGUGUGUAAACUCCUUUUAUAUGUCAAGAAAAUGACGGUAGCAUAUGAAUAAGCACCGGCUAACUCCGUGCCAGCAGCCGCGGUAAUACGGAGGGUGCAAGCGUUAUUCGGAAUCACUGGGCGUAAAGGACGCGUAGGCGGGAAGCCAAGUCUGAUGUGAAAUCCUAUGGCUCAACCAUAGAACUGCAUUGGAAACUGGUUACCUAGAGUAUGGGAGGGGGAGAUGGAAUUAGUGGUGUAGGGGAAAAAUCCGUAGAUAUCACUAGGAAUACCGAAAGCGAAGGCGAUCUCCUGGAACAAUACUGACGCUAAGGCGUGAAAGCGUGGGGAGCAACGGGAUUAGAUA
rnacentral:rRNA from 1 species